CAAUUGAAGGGUUUGAUCCUGGCUCAGAAUGAACGUUGGCGGCGUGGAUUAGGCAUGCAAGUCGAGCGCGAAACCCCGCAAGGGGUGGAAAGCGGCGAAAGGGACAGUAACACGUGGAUUAUCUACCCCUCGGUCUGGGAUAGCUGCGGGAAACUGCAGGUAAUACCAGAUGAUGUCUUCGGACCAAAGGUGUGAUUCCGCCGAGGGAUGAGUCCGCGUCCUAUUAGCUAGUUGGUAGGGUAACGGCCUACCAAGGCCAUGAUGGGUAGCGGGUGUGAGAGCAUGACCCGCGUCACUGGGACUGAGAUACUGCCCAGACACCUACGGGUGGCUGCAGUCGAGGAUCUUCGGCAAUGGGCGCAAGCCUGACCGAGCGACGCCGCGUGUGGGAUGAAGGCUUUCGGGUUGUAAACCACUGUCGGAGGGGAUGAAAUGCCCUGGGGUUCUCCCCAGGGUUUGACAUAGCCUCAAAGGAAGUACGGGCUAAGUUCGUGCCAGCAGCCGCGGUAAGACGAACCGUACGAACGUUAUUCGGAAUCACUGGGCUUAAAGGGUGCGUAGGCGGCGCGGAAAGUUGGGUGUGAAAGCCCUCGGCUCAACCGAGGAAUUGCGCCCAAAACUACCGUGCUUGAGUGAGAUAGAGGUGAGCGGAACUUAGGGUGGAGCGGUGAAAUGCGUUGAUAUCCUAAGGAACACCGGUGGCGAAAGCGGCUCACUGGAUCUUUUCUGACGCUGAGGCACGAAAGCUAGGGGAGCAAACGGGAUUAGAUACCCCGGUAGUCCUAGCUGUAAACGAUGAGCACUGGGUUGGAGGGUCCUCCAUAGCCUUCCAGCCGUAGCGAAAGUGUUAAGUGCUCCGCCUGGGGAGUAUGGUCGCAAGGCUGAAACUCAAAGGAAUUGACGGGGGCUCACACAAGCGGUGGAGGAUGUGGCUUAAUUCGAGGCUACGCGAAGAACCUUAUCCUGGUCUUGACAUGUACGGAUUAACCCUACGAAAGUAGGGCCACGCCCUUCGGGGUGGAACGUGCACAGGUGCUGCAUGGCUGUCGUCAGCUCGUGUCGUGAGAUGUCGGGUUAAGUCCCUUAACGAGCGAAACC
rnacentral:rRNA from 1 species